rnacentral:tRNA from 1 species
UCCUGCGUAGCUCAGUGGCAGAGCGGGUGACUGUUAAUCACUAGGUCGUUGGUUCGACCCCAACCGCAGGAGCCA